rnacentral:tRNA from 1 species
AAUGAAGUGUCUGAAAAAGAGUUAUCUUGAUAGGGUAAAAAAUGUAACAUUAAAUUACCUUCAUUA